CCCCUCCCACAUGGGCUGUGCUUCCGGGGCACCUAGAGGCCUGUCUGAAGACUGGCCAUUGUCAUACCUGCUGGCCUGGCCCUGGGGUCUGGCUUGGCCUGAGACUUUACGGACACUUGAGUGAGGGGGAUGGGGUAGGGGCCAGGUUUCCCAAAAAGCAGAGUCAGACUUCUGCCCCCAGCCAGAGGAAGGCUGCAGGUACUGUGGCCAGGAGAGAAGGAGCCAUCUAGAUCUCUUCCUGUUGUGGUGUCCUCUAUCUGAUCUAUCCUAGCUCUGAAAGCCUCAAUAAUAAAGAUGGGGGCUUCACUGUCCUGGACUUCAUUUUCUUCGAAAUACUCUUGGACUGGGGCCUGGGUUGAGGGGAACUUGGGGAAGAAGGAAGAUCCAUCUGGCUGUUUUUUCUUUAGUGUUUACUGGCUGACUCCUUCCUGUCAUUCCACAGUGACCUCAGAGCCCUCGCUGCCAUCCAAGCUCAUACCAUGUCUCUUGUCCACCUGCUUGCUUUCUUUUACGACAGUCACUAGCUGUCUACAUUUAUUUGUAUACCUAAUAUUAUCUAUCCCCACUAGAAUAUAAACUCCACAAGGGCACUGACUUCUUGUUCCUUCUCUAUCCCUUCCUACAAUGAAGAUUAUCCUAACCUGGCAUAUCAUAGCUGCUUAAUAUUCACAAAUAGAUCAGUUGGUUUCUCAGGGUGCAGUCCUUAGACCACCCGUGGGAUAUUUCUUAAAAAUUCAAUUUCUUGGACCCUGCCCCAGACUUUCAUAGUUGGAAUCUGUAGGAGUGGGGCUAGAAGUCUGCAAUUUUAAUAAACUCCAGGUGAUAUAGUCUUCCUGAGAAUGUCGAGAAUCAGUUUCUUAAAUAUUUGGGGGGUGCCUACCAUAUAGUAGACAUUGUCCUGGGCAUCUGUCCCUAACAGCUACCCCUACCAUCUGAGCUUUCUCUGCUGGCUGGCACUGGCUUUUUAAGAACUAUAUUGAACCUACCAUAUGCCAGAUCCUGUGCUGGGGCUUCUUUGCAGAUGUGACUAGUUUUAUCCUUAUAAUAGCUUAGCCAAGAGGCCCUCAUGACCAUGAGAGCUGAAAUUCAGCAGAUGUGUGUUAAGCCUCAACUCCCUAGCUAGGUCUAGGAUUGGUGGGAACAGGCCAGCUAGGAAGAGAUAAUGCAGUUAGGGAGGUGCUUGUUGGGGGAUGGGAGUAAGAAGUGCUGAAGCACUUAGGUGCUGGUGAAGCGGGUGGGCAUCUAACAGGAAGUUGAUAGGGGUUGGGUGGGAAGGGUUAAUGCAGAGGCGAGGGCUGAUUUUCAGCUGAGGGAAGGGAGGCAAGAGAGCACCCUGGACAGUUGGGGAAAUGGAAACAUGAGAUUCGUGGGGCUGAAACAAGCGCUAGGGUUUGGGGGUGGCGAGCUCUUGAGAGAUUGGGGGAAGCCAUCGGGCAGCCUGAGGAGCCCAGUAGGACAUUUGGACUUUAUCUUGAGGGCCACAUGGAGCCAUUGAAGGAAACUUUUGAAAUAAUAGGUAAAAUAUUCACAUGAUAAAAAAUUAAACUGUACACAUUACAAAAGGUUGAUGAAGUCUCCUGCCACCUCAGGCUCUCACUUCUUCCCAGAGGUGACCACUGCUACUCAUUGCUUACAUAAAUUGUCUAAAUUCUUCACGUCUACAUGUAUAUACGUAUAUCUUCUCAUGUUUUAAAAUUCAUAUAUAUGUGCUGUUCUGCUAUCAUGCUACCACUGUUCCAA